rnacentral:rRNA from 1 species
GACGAACGCUGGCGGCGUGCUUAACACAUGCAAGUCGAACGACAGUGCUUUCUUCGGAGAGUGUAUGGAGUGGCGAACGGGUGAGUAACACGUGAGCAACCUGCCCUCAGCUUUGGGAUAACCCUCGGAAACGGGGGCUAAUACCGGAUACUACUUCUUGCCGCAUGGUGGGGGUGGAAAGUUUUUCGGCUGGGGAUGGGCUCGCGGCCUAUCAGCUUGUUGGUGGGGUGAUGGCCUACCAAGGCGACGACGGGUAGCCGGCCUGAGAGGGCGACCGGCCACACUGGGACUGAGACACGGCCCAGACUCCUACGGGAGGCAGCAGUGGGGAAUAUUGCACAAUGGGCGGAAGCCUGAUGCAGCGACGCCGCGUGAGGGAUGACGGCCUUCGGGUUGUAAACCUCUUUCAGCCUCGACGAAGCGAAAGUGACGGUAGGGGCAG